rnacentral:tRNA from 1 species
GGGGCAUUAGCUCAGUUGGCUAGAGCGUUUGGCUGGCAGCCAAGAGGUCAUCGGUUCGACUCCGAUAUGCUCCACAA